UGGGGCCUGAACUGGAGACUAGCUGUGAAUCUCCAGCAGAGGGACUAGUGGUUAGAGGAGACCCCCCGGAAAAC
rfam:Zika virus strain MR 766, complete genome.